UACGUAGGGGGCAAGCGUUGUCCGGAUUUAUUGGGCGUAAAGAGCAUGUAGGCGGCUUUACAGGUCCGUUGUGAAAACUCGAGGCUCAACCUCGAGACGCCGGUGGAAACCGUAAAGCUAGAGUCCGGAAGAGGAGAGUGGAAUUCCUGGUGUAGCGGUGAAAUGCGCAGAGAUCGGGAGGAACACCCGUAGCGAAGGCGGUUCUCUGGGCCGGUACUGACGCUGAGGUGCGAAAGCGUGGGGAGCAACAGG
rnacentral:rRNA from 1 species